ensembl:snoRNA Small nucleolar RNA SNORA22
UUGCACAGAGAACACCCAGAGACGCUCCCGUGAGCCUCUCUGGUCUUGAAUCUGUGCUACAGCAACUCCGGUCAUUUCCUCUGCAUAAAGACAGCUCCAGUCUCUCUUUCAUGUAUUCAGCUGACCAGCACAAAA